rnacentral:misc_RNA from 1 species
UACGUAGGUGGCAAGCGUUGUCGGGAAUUAUUGGGCGUAAAUCGCGCGCAGGCGGUCUCUUAAGUCUGAUGUGAAAGCCCCCGGCUCAGCCGGGGAGGGUCAUUGGAAACUGGGAGACUUGAGUAUAGAAGAGGAGAGUGGAAUUCCACGUGUAGCGGUGAAAUGCGUAGAUAUGUGGAGGAACACCAGUGGCGAAGGCGACUCUCUGGUCUGUAACUGACGCUGAGGCGCGAAAGCGUGGGAGCAAACAGG